UACGGAGGGUGCGAGCGUUGUCCGGAAUCACUGGGCGUAAAGGGCGCGUAGGCGGACUCUUAAGUCGGGGGUGAAAGCCCAGGGCUCAACCCUGGAAUUGCCUUCGAUACUGAGAGUCUUGAGUUCAGAAGAGGUUGGUGGAACUGCGAGUGUAGAGGUGAAAUUCGUAGAUAUUCGCAAGAACACCAGUGGCGAAGGCGGCCGACUGGUCCGAUACUGACGCUGAGGCGCGAAAGCGUGGGGAGCAAACAGG
rnacentral:rRNA from 1 species